CAUGCACAAAGCUACAAGCAGGCCAAAAAUUAUUGAGUCCUAAGCUCUUUUCACUUCAAACUGGAAUUUGUGUCGCAUCCAGGGAGAAGCCAGUUACCAGAGACUGCUGUAGCCAAGACGGAGCAGUAGCAGAAAGUCUGCUUCUCAGGCACCCAGCUGCACUUCGAGGAAGCCUUUAUGGGUCACGAUUAUGGCUGCUCCCAUCAGGGAGUGUACCAACAAGGCAUCAUGCAGGAAGAGGGGGACUGCAUGGCCCCGCACCGUGGCCACCUCUCUGCCCCUGGCACAGCACGCAAAUCCUGCAUUAAAUUCACUGGUAAAUCUGUAAGAGAGGCAUCCUGUGCUGUUAGGGUACUCCAUAGCUACUUCUCCAUGCAUCCAGUAUAUACAUGUAUGGAGCAGGAGUGGAAAUGCUCUGGAGGGUUACCUCUAUUUUUGUGUUUGUUUAUUUAUUUAUUUAAAUGAAUAUGUACUUAUUUCCUUGUAUGCUGCAACUUUUAACAGAAUGACUCUGAGUUCACAGUUUUUGUGCCUCAAUAAACCUCUAGCCCGAGCUUGCAAAGCCAUUUACUGCCUAUGGUUAAACAAUCUUCUUUGUAAAGAAACUAACUAUAAAAAUCUUCAAAACAGAUUCAUUACCUUUUCCUUAACAGCUGUUCCAAGACGUACUGUCAUCAGUCAUUUACUAAUGGUUAGCAAAC